GACGAACGCUGGCGGCGUGCUUAACACAUGCAAGUCGAACGGAAAGGCCCUGCUUUUGUGGGGUGCUCGAGUGGCGAACGGGUGAGUAACACGUGAGUAACCUGCCCUUGACUUUGGGAUAACUUCAGGAAACUGGGGCUAAUACCGGAUAUGAGCUCCUGCUGCAUGGUGGGGGUUGGAAAGUUUCGGCGGUUGGGGAUGGACUCGCGGCUUAUCAGCUUGUUGGUGGGGUAGUGGCUUACCAAGGCUUUGACGGAUAGCCGGCCUGAGAGGGUGACCGGCCACAUUGGGACUGAGAUACGGAGCAGAAGGCUACGGGAGGCAGCAGUGGGGAAUAUUGCAGAAUGGGCGGAAGCCUGAGGCAGCAACGCCGCGUGCGGGAUGACGGCCUUCGGGUUAUAAACCGAUUUCGCAUGUGACGAAGAGUGAGUGACGGUAAUGGGUAAAGAAGCACCGGCUAACUACGUG
rnacentral:rRNA from 1 species